rfam:Brassica napus, WGS project CCCW01000000 data, contig: 2964
GGAAUAUAAGACACCGUCUUUUAACUUGUAACUAAAAAGGCUAAGAGCCGGUUUUUAAAUAUCUUAUUUAUGAGCCGGUUUUUAGUUUUUUUAGUUAAAAAUUAAGAGACGAUUUAUUAUAUUCC